rnacentral:rRNA from 1 species
UACAGAGGUCCCAAGCGUUGUUCGGAUUCACUGGGCGUAAAGGGUGCGUAGGCGGUCGGGUAAGUCUGAUGUGAAAUCUCGGGGCUUAACCCCGAAACUGCAUUGGAUACUAUUCGGCUUGAGGAAUGGAGGGGAGACUGGAAUGCUCGGUGUAGUGGUGAAGUGCGUAGAUAUCGGGAGGAACACCAGUGGCGAAGGCGACUACCUGGCCUGUUCUUGACGCUGAGGCGCGAAAGCUAGGGGAGCAAACGGG